GCUCAGCGCUGCGCUCCGCGCCGAUCGCCCGAGCUACCGCGCUCCGCUCCGCAGCACGGAGACACGGGGCGGCACGGGCGGCAGGGAAGGCGGGGAUGAGGCGGACGGCGUUAGGAUACCGAGGGAAGCUCGCCCUGCCCGGCCCGGCGGGGGUAGGAUGCUCCCCACUCUCGCUGCAGCCGGGAUUUGCAAAUGCUCAGCCCUUCCCCGGAGCGACGCUUCUCCUUGGCAAAUGGCAGGACCAGAGGCAGGUUCCAGGUUCAAAUCUUCCCUUGGAUCCACACUAAGUUGCAGGAUUUCUACCUGGUCCAUACUUUGAAGACACAAACACACAGCAUGGAAAUACCAACACAGGUAAUAGAGAGAUCAAUGCAAUGUUCACACAAGUGAUUAAUGGCAGCAAAAGUAUGUGAUACAGCUUUGGAAAUUAAAA